UGAUGGGUUGUUGCUGGUUCUCUAGAGAGCAUGUGCACACCUUGUCAUCUUUAUAUCUCCACCUGUGCACUUUUUGUAGACCUUUCAGGUCUAUGUUGCUUCAUUUACCCCAAUGUAUGUUAAUAGAAUGUUGUGCCUAUAUAAUAUAUACAACUUUCAGCAACGGAUCUCUUGGCUCUCGCAUCGAUGAAGAACGCAGCGAAAUGCGAUAAGUAAUGUGAAUUGCAGAAUUCAGUGAAUCAUCGAAUCUUUGAACGCACCUUGCGCUCCUUGGUAUUCCGAGGAGCAUGCCUGUUUGAGUGUCAUUAAUAUAUCAACCUUCUCUUUUUGAGUGGUUUGGAUGUGGGGGUUUGCUGGCCUCUUAAAAAGGUCUUGGCUCUCCUGAAAUACAUUAGCAGAACAACCCUGUUCAUUGGUGUGAUAAACUAUCUACGCUAUUGAAUGUGAAGGGCAGUUUGGCUUUCUAACAGUCCUUGGACAAGCUCAUCAUUAAUGUGACCUCAAAUCAGGUAGGACUACCCGCUGAACUUAAGCAUAUCAAUAA
rnacentral:rRNA from 1 species